rnacentral:rRNA from 1 species
AUGCGAGUCGUGCGGACAGAUAAGGAGCUUGCUCCUUUGAAGUUAGCGGCGGACGGGUGAGUAACACGUGGGUAACCUACCUAUAAGACUGGGAUAACUUCGGGAAACCGGAGCUAAUACCGGAUAACAUUUAGAACCGCAUGGUUCUAAAGUGAAAGAUGGUUUUGCUAUCACUUAUAGAUGGACCCGCGCCGUAUUAGCUAGUUGGUAAGGUAACGGCUUACCAAGGCGACGAUACGUAGCCGACCUGAGAGGGCGAUCGGCCACACUGGAACUGAGCCAUGAUCAACUCUUCUACGGGAGGCAGCAGUAGGGAAUCUUCCGCAAUGGGCGAAAGCCUGACGGAGCAACGCCGCGUGAGUGAUGAAGGGUUUCGGCUCGUAAAACUCUGUUAUUAGGGAAGAACAAWKKKGUAAGUAACCUGUGCACAUCUUGACGGUACCUAAUCAGAAARSCACGGCUAACUACGUGCCAGCAGCCGCGGUAAUACGUAGGUGGCAAGCGUWAUCCGGAAUUAUUGGGCGURAAGCGCGCGUAGGCGGUUUCUUAAGUCUGAUGUGAAAGCCCACGGCUCAACCGUGGAGGGUCAUUGGAAACUGGGAAACUUGAGUGCAGAAGAGGAAAGUGGAAUUCCAUGUGUAGCGGUGAAAUGCGCAGAGAUAUGGAGGAACACCAGUGGCGAAGGCGACUUUCUGGUCUGUAACUGACGCUGAUGUGCGAAAGCGUGGGGAUCAAACAGGAUUAGAUACCCUGGUAGUCCACGCCGUAAACGAUGAGUGCUAAGUGUUAGGGGGUUUCCGCCCCUUAGUGCUGCAGCUAACGCAUUAAGCACUCCGCCUGGGGAGUACGACCGCAAGGUUGAAACUCAAAGGAAUUGACGGGGACCCCGCACMAGCGKKGRAGCAUGUGGUUUAAUUCGAAGCAACGCGAAGAMMCUUACCAAWUCUUGACAUCSUUUUGAAAACUCUAGAGAUAGAGSCUUUCCCCUUUCGGGGKACAAAGUGACAGGUGGYGCAUGGUUGUCGUCAGCUCGUGUCGUGAGAUGUUGGGUUAAGUCCCGCAACGAGCGCAACCCUUAAGCUUAGUUGCCAUCAUUAAGUUGGGCACUCUAGGUUGACUGCCGGUGACAAACCGGAGGAAGGUGGGGAUGACGUCAAAUCAUCAUGCCCCUUAUGAUUUGGGCUACACACGUGCUACAAUGGACAAUACAAAGGGCAGCUAAACCGCGAGGUCAUGCAAAUCCCAUAAAGUUGUUCUCAGUUCGGAUUGUAGUCUGCAACUCGACUACAUGAAGCUGGAAUCGCUAGUAAUCGUAGAUCAGCAUGCUACGGUGAAUACGUUCCCGGGUCUUGUACACACCGCCCGUCACACCACGAGAGUUUGUAACACCCGAAGCCGGUGGAGUAACCAUUUAUGGAGCUAGCCGUCGAAG